GGCUCGUUGGUCUAGGGGUAUGAUUCUCGCUUUGGGUGCGAGAAGUCUCGGGUUCAAAUCCCGGACGAGCCC
rnacentral:tRNA from 1 species